rnacentral:rRNA from 1 species
UACGGGGGGGGGCAAGCGUUGUUCGGAAUUACUGGGCGUAAAGGGCUUGUAGGUGGCCAACUAAGUCAGACGUGAAAUCCCUCGGCUUAACCGGGGAACUGCGUCUGAUACUGGAUGGCUCGAGUGUGGGAGAGGGAUGCGGAAUUCCAGGUGUAGCGGUGAAAUGCGUAGAUAUCUGGAGGAACACCGGUGGCGAAGGCGGCAUCCUGGACCAUAACUGACACUGAUAAGCGAAAGCCAGGGGAGCAAACGGGG